AUACCACCUGAGAUCAAGAAACUCCUUUUUGGAGGGAAAAUUGUUUCCCAUGAUUAAUUUUACCAUGUGUUCUGUUUUUGACAUUACUGAUGGAAUUUCU